AGGAUUGUAUCUCAGUGGUAAGCACUCGCUUAGCAAGCGUGAGGCCAUAGGUUCAAUUCCUAUCACUGCUA
rnacentral:tRNA from 1 species